ACCUACUUCAAUUCCCUGAUUUUAUGGAGGCAUAAACUAGGCUCCAAUGUUACACAGGUUGCAGAGAAGCAAACCUGGAAUUUGAACUCAAGCCUUUUAACUACAAUUCCAAUCUAAGUUCCAUAAUAUAAAACUCUCACUACUCUUAUUCCAUUUCAAGUCCUUAAUUGAAGGUCUUCAUCUAAUAUCAAAUAUGAAUCAUAACCGAAUGCAAUAAGGGAAGAUUUUGUAAGCAGAGCAAAAAUCCAACAAAUCUCUUUUGGGUAAAGGAACUUGAGAAGGGAAGAGGGAGGAAGAAAAAGCUGAGGUUGAUCAUCUAGAAGAGAGAAAGCAAGAGUAAAAUGAACUGGGAAUGAGGAUUUGUUAGAGAAAGAAGAAAGGAAUCCUAGAAUGAGUGCUGUGACACAUGUUAAAAUAUGGAAAUUGCUCUUCAAAUAACCAGGAAUGACCCCAGAGAAAAAUUCCUGAAGAAGCAACUGAUAUUUGAAGACUAUCAAUUUGGCAGUCAUAUGGAGGACAGGAUAGAAGUGGGAGAGACUGGAGGCUGGGAAAACAUUUAGACAGCUAUUGUAGCAUUUCAGCAGCCCUCCCCCUCUGAGGGGUGAUGGAUUUGCCCUGUUGCCUGGAGACAGGACUCAAACAGAAGACCCAAAGAGAGCACCUGGGCGCUGGCUCCAGAGGAGUUAAGAACAAGUCCCGGAGUGGAUAACUCCUGGAGCAGAUAACUGAGCCGAGUAACCCCAGCAAAGUGAAGCCUCAGCUGGAGCUGGAGGGAGAUGACAGGAAGAAGAAGGCAGCAUCUGUGGACCCCCUCCCCAGGCAGGAUUUACCUCCCGCCCAGUGCUCAGGCUGCCUCCUACUAGAUUACUAUUUCUCAACAUAUAAUUAAAUAUUGUUUUUGUGAUUAAUCACUAUGUUUAAAUUAUGUUUGAUUUGUAGCAAUGAGAAUACAUAAUGCAUAUCAGGUAUUUACAUUCCGAAUCAUAACUGUAGCAAAAUUACAGUUUUGAAGUAGCCACCAAAAUAAGUUUU
rnacentral:lncRNA from 1 species